rnacentral:rRNA from 1 species
AUUGAACGCUGGCGGCAUGCCUUACACAUGCAAGUCGAACGGUAACAGGUCUUCGGAUGCUGACGAGUGGCGAACGGGUGAGUAAUACAUCGGAACGUGCCUAGUAGUGGGGGAUAACUACUCGAAAGAGUGGCUAAUACCGCAUGAGAUCUACGGAUGAAAGCAGGGGAUCGCGAGGCCUUGUGCUACUAGAGCGGCCGAUGGCAGAUUAGGUAGUUGGUGGGAUAAAAGCUUACCAAGCCGACGAUCUGUAGCUGGUCUGAGAGGACGAUCAGCCACACUGGGACUGAGAAACGGCCCAGACUCCUACGGGAGGCAGCAGUGGGGAAUUUUGGACAAUGGGCGCAAGCCUGAUCCAGCAAUGCCGCGUGCAGGAUGAAGGCCUUCGGGUUGUAAACUGCUUUUGUACGGAACGAAAAGCCCCGGGUUAAUACCCUGGGGUCAUGACGGUACCGUAAGAAUAAGCACCGGCUAACUACGUGCCAGCAGCCGCGGUAA